UAACCGACUCUCGGCAACGGAUAUCUCGGCUCUCGCAUCGAUGAAGAACGUAGCGAACUGCGAUACUUGGUGUGAAUUGCAGAAUCCCGUGAACCAUCGAGUCUUUGAACGCAAGUUGCGCCCGAAUCCGUUUGGACGAGGGCACGUUUGCCUGGGUGUCA
rnacentral:rRNA from 13 species